CAAGACAACACCUCUGUUCGUUCCAGGCCGGCGAGAAGAACGCUGGACGCCACCAUGACCAAAGGCCAUGUCCGUCUUACCGGCCGGCGACCGCAUCACCGUCGGGCGUCGGCCACACAACGAGGCCCGGCCAGGUCGAGGACGCACCCGGAGUUCGAGCGCGUGCAAGCGACGUGGCCUGGGUGUCGAGGUGCAAUGUCGUCGCCUUCCAUGGAGCGCGGUGCCACGGGCGACUCGAGCCGACAUCGAAGACGCAGGACCACAGGCGCAGGCAGUGUUUGGCAGAUCGGGCGUUUCCGUGACCUUCCUGAUGCUCGGCAGGCACCCGUUCUCGAUCCACCGACGGCGGGGAAGUUCGGCAAUGCAGGAGAGCAGCCAGCACUGCACAAGGUCAAGAUCCACUUUCCUGGCGCUGAUCGCAUCCUGGUGGCGAAGAGAGGACGAGGCGAUGCCAGCUCCACGACACUCCUGGCGCUCGAUCCUUCCGGUGCGCCGUGGCCUGGGCCUCGCUGUCCAUCGUCGUCGCCUUCUAUGCAGCGUGGUGCCCAGGACGAUUCGAGCCGACAGUGAUGACGCAGGACCACAGGCGCAGGCAGUGCUCGGUGACUCGGGCGUUUCCGUGGCCUUCCCUACUACCCAGUCGCCCUUUCUCGAUCCUCCGAAGGCGCGGAGGAAGCGCCAGCAUUGAACAACGUCACGGUCCACUUUCCUGGCGCUGAUCGCAUCACUUUCUGGUGGCGAAGAGAGAACGAGGCGAUGCCAGCUCCAGGACACGCCUGGCGCUCGAUCCUUCUGUUGCGACGUGGCCUGGGCCUUGCGGUCCAACGUCGUCGCCUUCUAUGCAGCGUGGUGCCCAGGACGAUUCGAGCCGACAGCGAAGACGCAGGACCACAGGCGCAGGCAGUGAUCGGUGACUCGGGCGUUUCCGUGGCCUUCCCGACUCUCCAGUCGCCCUUUCUGGAUCCUCAGAAGGCACGGAGGAAGCGCCAGCAUUGUCCUGCCCUGUGGUUCGCGCAAAUGUCUGCAGUCGUCUCGUUCGUGGUGGAAGCGCUGGUCGCCCUCAGCUACGUCGCCAGAGGAGCUACUGGCAGCGAAAGGAGUGCACGAUGCCGGUAGCUCGCUCUGCGUCGACGUCGACGACGAUGACGAUGAUGGCCAAGGCGGUGACGUCGUCCGAAGGGUCGCCAAGUGCCAUCGACCGGCAUGGCCUGUGGGGCGCCGCCACGGGCGCUUUGAGGAUUUAUUUAUUUAAUGUAAAUAUUAGAUUAUAGAAAAUACUUUUCUUUUCGUUUGUACCGCACCGCGGUAAAUAUGUUUUGCGAACACCGACUAAAAUGUGCUUCGAAAUGACCCUGGAAGUUAUAAUUUACUGACUGCCCGAAGAGGUAGAGGUGUUAAGAACGCCUUCAAGAUUAAACAUAGU